CGCACCUUGCGCUCCUUGGUAUUCCGAGGAGCAUGCCUGUUUGAGUGUCAUUAAAUUCUCAACCCCUCCAGUUGUCAUGACUUGGAUAUUGGGGCUUGGAUGUGGGAGUUUGCGGGUCCUUUGUUCAUAAGGUCGGCUCUCCUGAAAUGCAUUAGCGGAACCGUUUGCAGUCCCCGUCACUAGUGUGAUAAUUAUCUACACUGUGAAUAGAUUGCUCUCUGACUAGUUCAGCUGCUAAUCGUCCAGAAUGGACAACUUGAUAUGACUAUCUUGACCUCAAAUCAGGUAGGACUACCCGCUGAACUUAA
rnacentral:misc_RNA from 1 species